GUAGCUCAGUGCAAAGACCCUGAGUUCAAUCCUCAGUAACAUGCACACGCCCACACACUCAAACACACCUGGCUUUCCACACUGUGUGCAAAUGAGGCACGCCCUGUUCCCCUCACACCCCAUCCCCCGGCUAGACGUCCUGGCCCCUACCCAGCUGCAUGCCAACCGAGCCCAGCCAGCUGGGUGCUGUUCGCUGGUCCUGUCCCUGCCUCUGCUGGAAUUGAGGAGAGGCAGGGGUCACCCUGCUCCCCAGUUGUACCCCAGACUACACAGAUCACACCUGGCUUCUCGAAGACUCAGAGUGAGAGGGGGAGGCUGGUAGUGCUCGCCUUGGGGUGUGAGGUACCCAGGGCCAGGGCAUCCUGUAUAGAAACACAGGUAUCUGCUCUCCAGCAUCUGUAUUUGGGGCCGAAGCCUGGUCAGUAUUGUAAAACCUCUGAAUUCUCCAGCUGUUCCCUGGUGGCGUGCUUGGGGAGGGGGUGGCAGGAGUCCAGAAGGGGCAUUCUGAGGAUCCUCCCUGCAGGAACCCAACCAGGCAGCACUGCCUCAGGGAUGGGCAGGAAGAAGCCACUUUCUGUUUGUAAGCAGCGUCCGGUAGGUAACCUGCUGGCAUUCUUCCUUCUUGCUGCUCUCCUUGGGUUUUGCCCCCUUUGGCAGGUAAGUGUCCUGGGACAGGAGGACACAGGAUUGUACUCUCUAGUCUUGCUGGGCUGA
rnacentral:lncRNA from 1 species